AUGUCAGUUUCACAGAAUAAACAAGUUUUAUAUGAUUUGUUUUUUCCCUCUUCGUUGUUCUCGCGACAUCUUGUGGUCCUACGAGAGCAGCGCAGCAGGCAGUUCUCGCGAGACUUGCGCGUUCCAAAGGUUUUCCACUAUGGCCUCCACUCAAACCGAGCAGCGGUUGGAAAAGUUAGUUUUGAGCCCAGAAACCUGUUUUUUACUGCCGGCAGUGAUGAAGACCAGGUCCUCAUGAUGAUGAUGAUGAUGAUGAUGAUGAUGGGGCGAGCAGACAGCUGAUGUGCUCUGAGGAGGAUGAAGAUGAGGAGGAUGAAGCUGAGGGUGAACAGUAGCCAGCUGUUGAAUCUGUCCAGAGAGCAAACAUCUGGAAACUUCCAGAAAGAAGGAACGCUGAGAGUUGGACGGCAGGAGAAAGGUCAGACAUGUUCUACUGUUCUAGUCUGUACUGUUGUAGUCUGUACUGUUCUAGUCUGUACUAGUCUGUACUAGUCUGUUCUAGUCUGUACUGUUGUAGUCUGUUCUAGUCUGUACUGUUCUAGUCUGUACUGUUGUAGUCUGUACUGUUCUAGUCUGUUCCAGUCUGUACUAGUCUGUUCUAGUCUGUUCUAGACUGUACUGUUCUAGUCUGUUCUAGACUGUACUGUUCUAGUCUGUACUGUUGUAGUCUGUACUGUUGUAGUCUGUACUGUUAUAGUCUGUUCUAGUCUGUACUAGUCUGUUCUAGUCUGUACUGUUGUAGUCUGUUCUAGUCUGUACUGUUCUAGUCUGUACUGUUCUAGUCUGUUCUAGUCUGUACUAGUCUGUUCUAGCCUGUUCUAGUCUGUACUGUUCUAGUCUGUUCUAGUCUGUACUGUUCUACUCUGUACUGUUCUAGUCUGUUCUAGUCUGUACUGUUAAAGUCUGUUCUAGUCUGUACUGUACUAGUCUGUACUGUUCUAGUAUGUACUGUUCUGGUAUGUACUGUUCUAGUCUGUACUAGUCUGUUCUAGUCUGUAUUGUUCUAGUCUGUACUAGUCUGUUCUAGUCUGUACUGGUGUAGUCUGUUCUAGUCUGUACUGUUCUACUCUGUACAAGUCUGUUCUAGUCUGUACUGUUGUAGUCUGUUCUAGUCUGUACUGUUGUAGUCUGUUCUAGUCUGUACUGUUGUAGUCUGUUCUCGUCUGUUCUGUUCUAGUCUGUACUGUUCUAGUCUGUUCUCGUCUGUUCUGUUCUAGUCUGUACUGUUCUAAUCUGUUUUAGUCUGUACUGUUCUAGUCUGUACUAGUCUUUACUAGUCUGUACUGUUGUAGCCUGUACUAGUCUGUUCUAGUCUGUUCUGUUCUAGUCUGUUCUAUUUUAGUCUGUUCUGUUCUGUUCUGUUCUAGUCUGUACUGUUCUAGUCAUUUCUAUUUUAGUCUGUUCUGUUCUAGUCUGUACUGUUCUAGUCUGUUCGGUACAAG
rnacentral:lncRNA from 15 species